UUUUUUUUCUUCUUGGGAUUUGAAACACAGACCUGUCCUUUUUAUCCAAUGCCUGACAAAGCACUGACUGGUCCUGGAGACCUUCACAAAGCUUGGAAGUAGUCACCAGGAGAACAUAUGAGGGCCUGCACUCCGGUUGGCAUUAUUAUGGAUUAAGGCAUAUGGAUAUUUCUGAUUCACUGGAAUUAAAUUUGGAGAACGGUGGCAGGAGCAGCAAGCCAGGAAAACGGGAUCUCCUGCAUCUUCUCCCCUUCCACCUGCGAGUCCAGCCAGGAGCUUACCCCUACACGCGAGAUGUGGGCCAUCAAGCUGCCGUCACUGAGGAGGGGUAGAGGGGAGCUGAAACCCCCUCCCCAUGCCAUGCAUCACGUUAGUGGAUCAGGAUCAGACCAUUGAAUCAUCUUGUCACUUUGGACUGGCUGGGAUUUCUCCUCUGGUGACUGAGAGCUCUGAGGAGCAGAAGGCUUCCCGUCAUCGUCUCUGGUGGUUAAUGGGUCUUUUGGUGAGAAAAGAAGCGAUUUACAAUGCAAAUAGAGGCCUGGGAAAGACUGGAGGCUGUUCAUUGCUCAUUGAGAGCCCCUGUGUGUUUUCUCAUCUCUGGCAUAAAGCGCUUUGGUGAUUAUCCUUAUAGGAAUAACUCGCCAGGAGAAAAGUUGGGAGUCAACUUUGAAGGCAACAGCUUUGUGUGGAUGCUUAUGGAGCUGGUGGCAAGCUGGGAGAACUACCUUUGGGAAGGGAUGCUUGUUCUAAGACGCCUGGUCCUCCAUAAAGGCUUCAGCCCACCCACAGAGCCUGGGAAAUGGAUACUGUUACAGAAUCAAUGUGUGGAAGUGGCUGUUAUCUUUGGUUAUCUAGCUGUAUGAGUGUAUUGGUCCUUCAUAAAGCUAGAUAACCGAAAGUAAAAACUCCUUCCAGAUCAUCACAUCAUCAGCAGCUGAGGAAUAGAGAGACCAAGGGGGGAGCUGGGUAUUUAAAGUACUAGACCCAGCUAAAGGGCUCUCUCUGCAUAGAGAGUGGAUUCUGUCUCUUUAAACACAAAUCAGAGCAGAGGAUUGAGAAACGUGUCUCUGGGUUUAUUAUCUAAUCCCCCACAACCCAAUCUCCCCCCACCCCUACCUGGACAGUGGUGCUCAUGGUAAUGUAUGUCAAAACUUUUCAUGUUCAGCAUAAAUACGUAUUGAUUUUUGAUUUUGCUCACUGUAACCCUUUCGUUGCCAGAAGCACUAACACCGCAGUGCUUCAAAGCUCCAUUCCUGCAGGCCCCUCUGGUGUCUGAAUGGUUAAGAAAUAUAACUUGUAUCUCACAAAGAGCCACAGAGACACAAUGUAUCUUUACAUUCGAACACCCAAAUAAUAAGUGUCAAAUAUGUUCUAUAUCUGUGUGUGUCUCUGUAUGUAUGCAUUUAUAAAAGAUACAGUGAAAGAUAAAUAAUAUAAUAAUAUACUCCCAGUAGAAAUGUUAAAAAUAUACCUUUAUUAUUGUUAUUAAAAAAGGGAAUAAAGAUGGGAUAUAACAGCCAUAUAUAUAGCAUUCUAAACACAAAUUACCACUCACCUCCAGUGUGUACACACACACACACACACACACACACGCACAAUUAUAACAUGUACAGACCGCAGACAGGAAUAACUUACAGGCACAUUUUGGAAAAUCUGGCAGAGAACACUUGUCCAUUUUGCUUAUAUUCGAAAAUGUGAAAUGUUGAUAUAUAUUUAUGUUUUUGUGUGUAUUGUGUAUUGUGUCUCUGUGUGUGUGUGUCCAGAUAGAAAAGGCAGAUGUUUCUCUAUUUUUAAAGGGUUUCCUUAAAAAAAGUCAGCAAGGCAGAAAGAACUGAUAGAGACGAUGCCUCCCCUCCCCCCCCCCUCCCCCC